AUAUACCACUCGUACACUCCGGUUCCUGUGCGCCGCCCGCACCCGCCUGACGACUGCUCGCUACGUUUUGUUAGCC
rnacentral:sRNA from 1 species